AUUGAACGCUGGCGGCAUGCCUUACACAUGCAAGUCGAACGGCAGCACGGGAGCUUGCUCCUGGUGGCGAGUGGCGAACGGGUGAGUAAUACAUCGGAACGUACCCAGGAGUGGGGGAUAACGUAGCGAAAGUUACGCUAAUACCGCAUAUUCUGUGAGCAGGAAAGCGGGGGAUCGCAAGACCUCGCGCUAUUGGAUCGGCCGAUGUCGGAUUAGCUAGUUGGUGAGGUAAAAGCUCACCAAGGCGACGAGCCUUAGCAGGUCUGAGAGGAUGAUCUGCCACACUGGGACUGAGACACGGCCCAGACUCCUACGGGAGGAGGCAGUGGGGAAUUUUGAACAAUGGGGGCAACCCUGAUCCAGCCAUGCCGCGUGAGUGAAGAAGGCCUUCGGGUUGUAAAGCUCUUCCGGCGGGGAAGAAAUGGCAACGGCUAAUAUCCGUUGUUGAUGACGGUACCCGCAUAAGAAGCACCGGCUAACUACGUGCCAGCAGCCGCCGUAA
rnacentral:rRNA from 1 species